AAAAAUUGCUCCACCUCAGUGGUUUUCAACCUAUUUUCAUUUGCAGACCCCUACAAAAUUUUGAACGGAGGUGGAGACCUUUUGGGAAUUUCUAAUGGAGGUGUGGACACCUUUAAUUGUAAGUGUGGGUAUUCACAUGCUUUUGAUUGGUCAGUCAUCUUUCACGGACCUCUUAGACACAUAGUCUGUGGGCCACAG